rnacentral:rRNA from 1 species
AUUGAACGCUGGCGGCAGGCCUAACACAUGCAAGUCGAACGGUAACAGGAAGAAGCUUGCUUCUUUGCUGACGAGUGGCGGACGGGUGAGUAAUGUCUGGGAAACUGCCUGAUGGAGGGGGAUAACUACUGGAAACGGUAGCUAAUACCGCAUAACGUCGCAAGACCAAAGAGGGGGACCUUCGGGCCUCUUGCCAUCGGAUGUGCCCAGAUGGGAUUAGCUAGUUGGUGGGGUAACGGCUCACCAAGGCGACGAUCCCUAGCUGGUCUGAGAGGGUGAGCAGCCACACGGGAACUGAGACACGGUCCAGACUCCUACGGGAGGCAGCAGUGGGGAAUAUUGCACAAUGGGCGCAAGCCUGAUGCAGCCAUGCCGCGUGUAUGAAGAAGGCCUUCGGGUUGUAAAGUACUUUCAGCGGGGAGGAAGGGAGUAAAGUUAAUACCUUUGCUCAUUGACGUUACCCGCAGAAGAAGCACCGGCUAACUCCGUGCCAGCCGCCGCCGUAA